rnacentral:rRNA from 1 species
UACGUAGGGGGCAAGCGUUGUCCGGAAUCAUUGGGCGUAAAGAGCGUGUAGGCGGCUCGGUAAGUCCGCUGUAAAAAGUCCAGGGCUCAACCCUGGAAAGCCGGUGGAAACUGUCGAGCUAGAGUCCGGAAGAGGCGAGUGGAAUUCCUGGUGUAGCGGUGAAAUGCGCAGAUAUCAGGAGGAACACCAAUGGCGAAGGCAGCUCGCUGGGACGGUACUGACGCUAAGGCGCGAAAGCGUGGGGAGCGAACAGG